rnacentral:rRNA from 1 species
UUUCACGUCAACAUCUUACUCAUUCCUUUUAUGCCGCAACAGGGUCUUGAAAUGGAUACAAAUGGAUGUUUCAGUGAUUUGCUAUGGAUGCCUCACAGCCAACACAAAACAUCCAAAACUUGGGAAAAUCCUAACAUUUGCUUGAAUGUACGGUGUCAUCGUGUUGGCAUCCCAUUUGACCCCCUAUGUACAUCAGCUUUAGAGAACCUUGGUUUUUAUCAGACUGCUAAGAUGAGGAAAAUCAAUGUACUCCCUCCUUCCAUCUAUAUAGGGCCUAAUACAUUUUUUAAGACCACCUUGGUCCCGGCUGGCUGGCAGCGGGCAGCCCAA